rnacentral:lncRNA from 1 species
UGGCCCUGCUAUUAUUUUGUCAUAUACAUUGUUCUUAGUUCGUCCCAAUCAGGUGGCACAGAGCAAUUCUAGUAAGCUCAAUUCUAGCACUUUCUAACUGCCAGAGAGUCCCAGAAAUAAAAUGGACUGCCCUGGAAAAGAGUGAUCUCUCUAUCAGCAGAGACCAGAAGACCAGCCAGGAGGUUCUGGAAGAGGAAGGAGUGGCCCAGAAGCUCAUCUACUGUGGCCUGAACUCUUAG